UACGAAGGGUGCAAGCGUUACUCGGAAUUACUGGGCGUAAAGCGUGCGUAGGUGGUUCGUUAAGUCUGUCGUGAAAGCCCCGGGCUCAACCUGGGAAUGGCGAUGGAUACUGGCGGGCUAGAGUGCGGUAGAGGAGAGUGGAAUUCCCGGUGUAGCAGUGAAAUGCGUAGAGAUCGGGAGGAACAUCGGUGGCGAAGGCGGGUCUCUGGGCCGAUACUGACGCUGAGGAGCGAAAGCGUGGGGAGCGAACAGG
rnacentral:rRNA from 1 species